rfam:Capsicum annuum cultivar Zunla-1 chromosome 2, whole genome shotgun sequence
UAUUGGUGAUGUGGACAAUCCCAAAGAAUAACCUUGAAGCGUUCCCAAGAAUAAUAGAGGUUUUCAUCAGGCUUCUGUUUGAACCUCACUAUCUCACUAGAAG